GACGAACGCUGGCGGCGUGCUUAACACAUGCAAGUCGAACGGAAAUGCCUCUUUCGGGGGGUACUCGAGUGGCGAACGGGUGAGUAACACGUGAGUAACCUGCCCUUGACUUUGGGAUAACUUCAGGAAACUGGGGCUAAUACCGGAUAGGAGCUCCUGCUGCAUGGUGGGGGUUGGAAAGUUUCGGCGGUUGGGGAUGGACUCGCGGCUUAUCAGCUUGUUGGUGGGGUAGUGGCUUACCAAGGCUUUGACGGGUAGCCGGCCUGAGAGGGUGACCGGCCACAUUGGGACUGAGAUACGGCCCAGACUCCUACGGGAGGCAGCAGUGGGGAAUAUUGCACAAUGGGUGGAAGCCUGAUGCAGCAACGCCGUGUGCGGGAUGACGGCCUUCGGGUUGUAAACCGCUUUCGCUCAUGACGAAGCUUUGUGUGACGGUAGUGGGUAAAGAAGCACCGGCUAACUACGUG
rnacentral:rRNA from 1 species